UUAAAAACACAUUCAUCAGCUUGGGUUUGGAAGCUGUUAAUUCACUUGUCUACCAUUGGUUUCUGUGUUGCCGUAGUUAUUAUAUUGUCUCCUUGCAUUGGCUAGCCAAAUGGCCAAUCCCCUCUUUGGCCCAGUAGCCCUUAUAAGCUGUGGGAAAUUUGAAUAAGGCUCUUCUUCGCUGC